UCGAGCGAACGUAUAACGUCGUAGCAUGAUCGUUUUACCUUGUCGGUGUUCGAAAACUUUCAAUGCUGUGUAAAUUUGACGUGUUUCUUCUUUUUUUCCUUUUCGUAUUUCUUAUUAUUUUACUAUACUUAUUUGUGCUUCUCGUUGCUGCUCACAUACGAACUGAAAGGAACAUCAGGAUGCUCUGUUGCAGCAUUAGGAAAAAUCAACAAGAAAGAAAGUCAUGAGAAGAAGGUGGCUCGAGCCAUAAAAAUCAGUGGAGAAAAAAAAAUGGGGUAUCUGAAAGCAGCAAACUACUUUCAAGUGGACAAGAAGCUGCUGUGCUGCAGUCCAGUUUGAUACUUGCAUUUACGACUACUGUUUGACUAAUUUACUUUUUUAUCGGGAACGACAAGAUGGAUCGAUUGCUGCAGGGCUUCUUAAACUAUGAGUCGUAAUCCUAUAUAGGAUCGUGUAACAGAGUUACGAGGUCGUGAAACUUUCAUAACUGUCGCACAUCGGUGAACUAAAAAAUGUCAAUCAUCUGUCACAGAAGAUCAAGUGAUUAAUCGACAUAAGUAUACAACAGUAUUCUUUAAAAAAAUAGUUUGAAUGUAUUUUUGCUUGGAAUAAACACAGAACUUCCAAUAAUUUAUAAAAUGUCCUUAAACACACACUCAUGAUUAUUUUAUGCUAGGUAUCUACUGCAGAAGGACAACAUCAUCGUUGACGAUUGCAAAAUGAAAAUAUAGAUUAACUCUGAAAAACAUUGAACGUACUCUGUUGUAUCAGAUAUUCAACCAGAAUUUAAUUCUUUAUGCAAAAAUAAACAAGCACAUCUGUUUCACCGAUAUGCAAAUUUAAUUCUGCUCUAAUAGCUGAUAAUAAAUGACACAAUUAUAAAUGUAA